GACGAACGCUGGCGGCGCGCUUAACACAUGCAAGUCGAACGGAAAGGCCCUGCUUGCAGGGUGCUCGAGUGGCGAACGGGUGAGUAACACGUGGGUGAUCUGCCCCUUACUUUGGGUUAAGCCUGGGAAACUGGGUCUAAUACUGGAUAGGACCAUGCUGUAGGUGGUGUGGUGGAAAGAUUAGUUUCGGUAAGGGAUGAGCUCGCGGCCUAUCAGCUUGUUGGUGGGGUAAUGGCCUACCAAGGCGUCGACGGGUAGCCGGCCUGAGAGGGUGGACGGCCACAUUGGGACUGAGAUACGGCCCAGACUCCUACGGGAGGCAGCAGUGGGGAAUAUUGCACAAUGGGCGCAAGCCUGAUGCAGCGACGCCGCGUGGGGGAUGACGGCCUUCGGGUUGUAAACUCCUUUCAGCCAUGACGAAGCCCUUGUGGUGACGGUAGUGGUAGAAGAAGCACCGGCUAACUACGUG
rnacentral:rRNA from 1 species